rnacentral:rRNA from 1 species
ACGGGUGAGUAACACGUAUCCAACCUGCCGUCUACUCUUGGACAGCCUUCUGAAGGAAGAUUAAUACAAGAUGGCAUCAUGAGUCCGCAUGUUCACAUGAUUAAAGGUAUUCCGGUAGACGAUGGGGAUGCGUUCCAUUAGAUAGUAGGCGGGGUAACGGCCCACCUAGUCUUCGAUGGAUAGGGGUUCUGAGAGGAAGGUCCCCCGCAUUGGAACUGAGACACGGUCCAA